AAUUUUUUCUGCCAAAUAGAAAUGUCAUUAUCUGUCAAAAUCAUCAAAAUGUUCACAAAAUAGCAAUCAAUGUUUAAUAAAUAAAACGAAUUGUCACAAUGACGUAGCAUUUAAACCUGGCUUUUGAAUUGAUUUAACAAGCAUGGACUGUUGCGGGGGCAGCGAUGGCAUGAAGUGCUGCGAUGACUCCCUGUUUGCAAACCCGAACGUAUUCUACAUCUCCCUGAUACUCCUGAUGCUCAUUGUAUACCUCUCAUGGUCACUGUACGCGUGUCACUAUUGUGGCGAAAGUGCACAAUGCCCACGAUCGAAUUAAUUUAGUCAAAAUCACAAAAUUGAAUCUCCACUGGUAGCUUAUAGCUAUAUCACAACUAACCGGACCGCAAUGAUUGUGGAGUAGAUUAUCAUGAAAUCCCACGAAGUAUAAUGGGUUGUUGCGAAGGCGGUUGCACAAACGACACAUGGGACGUAUUCUAUCAAGAUCACAAGGCGCAUGGUUUUCUGUUAGGACUGGUUUUCAUCGCGUUAUUUCUUGCCUAUCGUCUCUAUCGAUGUCACCACCCAAGACGAAGUCUUCUUUGUUGGUGAAACGAAAAUUGCUCUGAAAGUAAGCGUCUUUGGCCACUUGGAAGAGCUUGGCGCUGUUCUUCUCACCGGUCUCUCGCACCAUGGAUGAGAACUGAC